AGCAGCCGCGGUAAUUCCAGCUCCAAUAGCGUAUAUUAAAGUUGUUGCAGUUAAAAAGCUCGUAGUUGAAUUUCGGGGUUAGCAGGUCGGUCGUGCCAUCGGUAUGAACUGGUCUCGCUGAUCCCUCCCUCUUGACGAACUGUGAUGCCAUUAAUUUGGUGUCGCAGGGAAUCAGGACUGUUACUUUGAAAAAAUUAGAGUGUUUAAAGCAGGCUCACGCUUGAAUACAUUAGCAUGGAAUAAUGAAAUAGGACGUUUGAUCCUAUUUUGUUGGCUUCUAGGAUUGACGUAAUGAUUAAUAGGGAUAGUUGGGGGCAUUAGUAUUCAAUUGUCAGAGGUGAAAUUCUUGGAUUUUAUUGAAAGACUAACUACUGCGAAAGCAUUUGCCAAGGAUGUUUUCAUUAAUCAAGAACGAAAGUUAGGGGAUCGAAGACGAUCAGAUACCGUCGUAGUCUUAACCAUAAACUAUGCCGACUAGGGAUC
rnacentral:rRNA from 1 species